AUGCUUGCAGUCCGGGCGGCUCGAUUUGCACCUCCUAUGCACGAGGGGGCGCGAAGAGCCCGCGCGCUGGUGCAGCUCCGCAGACGCGGCUCUCGGCCGCAGCCCACGCUCCAGGUGCCUUUCCGCCGGCGCUGGGUGGGUGGAGGGUGUCCCUGCGGCUGCCGCGGCCCUUCGCGUUGGUCCCGAGCCGUCUCGAGCCGGGCCGCAGCGUCUCCUCCUGUCCCCGCCGCGACGGUCCCGGUGCCCCGGGUGACUGCAGGGCCGCGCUGCGCGGGGACCCCGGCGGCCUCCAAGGCUGGUGCUGCACUCCUCUUCCCCCCGACAGGAGGGGAAACUGAGGCCCGGGGCGGGCGCGGAGAGCCGGCGGAGGUCAGCCCCGGUUCCAGGCCCCGCUCCUGGCUCCGGGGCGGGCCUCUGGGGGCGGGUCCUGGAGGAAGGGGCUCCCGGGACGGUCCCGCUGAGCGCGGGCGGCGGGUGCGCAGCCGAGGCCCACCGCGGCCCGGGAUGCGCACGCGCACGCGCCCCUCCGCCCCCGGCCGUGGGUCGGCCGCCUACCAGGUGAGCGGAGCCGCCUGGGCCUGGGCCCACCUGCGGUCCGCAGCGCUCGGGAGGGAGAGUGCGCGAGCCGGGCCGUGCGGAGCGCGUGUCGGGGCCUCCGGUCGGCGGCGCCCGCGGGGCCCUGAGCGGCCGAGGGUGGUUCCCGCCUCCCCCCGCUCCUGGUGCCCGGGCCGGCGGGCUCUGCGGGACGGUGAUGCGCGGCGCCCGAGGCCGGCCCUGUGUGCAGGGGUGAGGCCUGGGAGGGCUGCCUUGGAUCUGGAGAUUGUUGGAGGAAUCCUGAGGGGAUGGAGGCACUGGUGCUCUCGGAUUGACCUUGGUCCCAGCUGUCCUGGAGGGACCUCAUCAUGAUUGUCGUGUGGGUGGAUCAUGGACAUUGGAGUAGCAUAAUGAAGAAAGCUGUUGCCGUGUGAACGUUGCCAGACCUUCUCACCAUGUUGCCUUAGCAAAGCAUGGAAGGGUUUUUCUCUCUGUGUAAGCAGGCCAGAAGGAAAGCCCUGGGACCCUGGACGCUUGAGGUGUGGAGCCAGAGACUUGAGCUGGCUCUGCCGUUCCCCCCCUGCAGGAGUCAGAAUGCCAUGGACCAGGAAGACUGGUUUGCUUUGACCUGGGCCAGGUUGUCCAGCGGCAUCCAUGUCUCCCCGCCUUCUCCUCCUCUGACUUUUCAAGAGUUUUCAGCACUGUACAUCCUUGUCCUCUCACCUGCCUAAUAAAUCUUGAAACUACCCUGAAGCUUGUUUUUGU
rnacentral:lncRNA from 1 species